ensembl:processed_transcript
UCGACAUGCAGGCAACGGCUUUCCUAAUUAGAAAUUCACCUGUCGUCUUUCAUCCAGCGAAUUCAUCCUCGCACAACACUGAGAUGAAGGCGAAGUCACCAUGAAAAGUUAAACGUUUACCGUUAAGCUACAGUAAUUGAUGUUGAAAAACUGAUGCUACCAAUCACUCCUCACUUGAUUUAUCAAGCUCAGAUUGUGAUGGACCUGGAAUGCGACACCAGUUACUCUUAAGACAAGAACCGAAUAAAGCACAGAUGUGGAGGGAUCUGCAGCCAAACUAACUGGAGGGAAGGAACCUUUAG